UACGUAGGGUGCAAGCGUUAAUCGGAAUUGCUGGGCGUAAAGCGUGCGCAGGCGGUUUUGUAAGUCUGUCGUGAAAGCCCCGGGCUUAACCUGGGAAUUGCGAUGGAGACUGCAAGGCUUGAAUCUGGCAGAGGGGGGUAGAAUUCCACGUGUAGCAGUGAAAUGCGUAGAGAUGUGGAGGAACACCGAUGGCGAAGGCAGCCCCCUGGGUCAAGAUUGACGCUCAUGCACGAAAGCGUGGGGAGCAAACAGG
rnacentral:rRNA from 1 species